rnacentral:rRNA from 1 species
GAUGAACGCUGGCGGCGUGCCUAAUACAUGCAAGUCGAGCGAACAGACGAGGAGCUUGCUCCUCUGACGUUAGCGGCGGACGGGUGAGUAACACGUGGAUAGCCUACCUAUAAGACUGGGAUAACUUCGGGAAACCGGAGCUAAUACCGGAUAAUAUAUUGAACCGCAUGGUUCAAUAGUGAAAGACGGUUUUGCUGUCACUUAUAGAUGGAUCCGCGCCGCAUUAGCUAGUUGGUAAGGUAACGGCUUACCAAGGCAACGAUGCGUAGCCAACCUGAGAGGGUGAUCGGCCACACUGGAACUGAGACACGGUCCAGACUCCUACGGGAGGCAACAGUAGGGAAUCUUCCGCAAAGGGCGAAAGCUUGACGGAGCAGCGCCGCGUGAGUGAUGAAGGUCUUCGGAUCGUAAAACUCUGUUAUUAGGGAAGAACAAAUGUGUAAGUAACUAUGCACGUCUUGACGGUACCUAAUCAGAAAGCCACGGCUAACUACGUG